AACUUCUGAGUAAAUAAUUUCUCUUGCCAACAUUCCUUUCUGGGGUGAGCCUUCCAACUUUUCACAGUAUGCUGUCUGUAACCUCUGCACAGCGUCAGGCCCUGUGGUAAGCAGCAUACAGCCUGCACCCACAUGGGCCAUGAAGGAUGCUGGGUCCAGAUUCCUUCAGAGCAUCUUGAUUUCCUGUUGAGAGGUGGUAGCUGCUGCAGGUAGUGAACUACUGGAGAGAAAGAGGUCCUACUUCAGAGACAGAACAGCAAAAUCAAGGCGAUCCUCCAGCAACGAGCUCACUUCCUUUUGUGUUGCUGCCUGGACAUGGGUGGAAGACAGGGUCUGUGUAGCCCUGGCUAUCCUCUGCAGACAAGGAUGGCCUCCAACUCACAGACAUCCACCUGCCUAGGCCACUUGAGUGCUGGGAUUAACGGCGUGAGCCACCACACCCAACUGUGAACCUUUUUUUCUUGAGAUAGGGUCACCUGGAUCUCAGGCUGCCUUCCAACUCUCUAUGGAAUCAAAGAUGACUUUUAACUUCUAAUUCUACCUCCUGAGUACUGGGAUUACAGGCAUGUCUACCAUGCCCUGUAUUUGUGAUUCUGCAAAUUUAACCAAGGGCUCUGUGCAUGCGAGGCAAGCACUCUACCAACCAAGCUUUAUCCCUAAUCCAUGGUGAUUCACCUGACUGUCAACUUGACCAGACUGAUAAACACCUAUGAGAUUAAUAACGUGGAUCUGUGGUGUGUCUGUGAAGGCAUCUGCAGAAAUAAUUCGAUCAUGAGAUUGCUAACCUCGGGACUUCACCAUCUGAAUAGACAGCUGAGAGACCAGUCUCGGCAUACUCCCAAGGCCCAGCCUCCUGUUGUCUUCCUGGAAGCAAGGCAGACCCAAGCUGGUAACACUCAGCCUGGCAGCUCUCCGCAGCACUGCUCCGGACACUUCUUCUAGACUGAGCCCCUCUGUCCCGAGGACACACAGCUGUGUGGCUUGUCUCACCAGCCUUCCUGGGACCAGCGCUUUCGAAGGGGCUCCUCCCAAGGAGGAAGGGUGCUGGCCAUGUCCUUAUCCUCUAACUUCUUGAUGUUCUGAGACCUUACAGCAGCAUCAGGCAUAGUUCUAAGCACAUCCUGAGUUACAGGAAGGACAAGACACCGCCACACCACAGCGGGGGCUGAAUACAGAUGGCAGGGUCUGUUGGCAGAGAAACCAGGACCAUGGUACAGAUAUUUGAAAGUUUGUGCUUUAAAAGGAGGAUUCUCUUGUUUGUAUUUUAGUAUCUGAUGGGGGGGAGGUGGUAUCGAUGGGUUAGAAAUCAGUUGUUAGAGGAUGAUGGCUUUCUCAAGAGACAAGUGUCCCUAAGCAUUCGGAUGAAGAAGGGGAGGAUUAGGGGACUUCAGCUGAUCUGUGAGACAUGACACUGGCCCAGGGAUGUUCCCCAGCAGCAAGCUAUCUUGGUCUCAUCUGGGCCACUGCAACCAAUUCCUAAGAUACACAGGAGCCUCCUUCCUCUCUCUCUCUGUUGGAAAGAUGGAGACCACAAACAUUGCCCACCUCCCCGCUACACAAGUUAGCUUUAGGGUAGGUCCAGGGACAUAGAUGAAUGUAACAUACUGUUCCAGUUUCAUUGUUCUGUUUCUAAAAGCAAGCCAGAGAGGGAACAGUCUAUUCGGCUUACACUUCCAGGUCACAAUCUAUCACUGAGGGAUGGGAGGGCAGGAACUCAAGCAGGAACUGAAACAGAAACCCUGGAGGAAACCCACUUGUUAGCCUAUUCUUUGGCUCACUCACAGGCUCAUGUUCUGCUAGUUUUCUUAUAUAGCCCAGGCCCACAUCAAUCCUCCAUCGAAACAAUCCCUCACAACAUGCCCACAGGCCAGUCUGACCUGGGUAGAUCUUCCGUCAAGGUUCCCUCUUCCCUGAUGACUCAGACUUUGCCAAGGUAACAAUAAAAACUAAACAGGACAAGUACACUUGAGCUUUUUUGUUUGUCUGUUUGUUGCAGUGCUGGGAUUGAACCCAUGACCCUGAACAUGUCAGGCAAAUGCUCUACUACUGAACCAUAUCCCAGUCCAUUUGUGUUUCAGUUUUGGGCUACCCUCUGAUUCCCCCAUGAGUAAGAAAUAAGUGGGCGGACAACUGGAGAGACAGAACUACAACCAAGACACUGAGACCAGACCAAAUGCCUGGAAGAAGCAGAAUCCAGCCAAGCAGCCUGGAAGAGGUAUAGACUAACCAAGUCACCCGGAAAGGACACCCUCCAACAUGUUGGGCUGCCUGCAGAUGUGGCACCUGACCCUGAGGAUCUGUCUUUAGAUCAUAAGCUGAUGUGAGCCUUUGUCUUCAUAAACUGGUCUAUUUGUGGCUUGCAGUUUCAGUAACAGAAAAAGAGACUAACAGUCAGGGGCUUGUGCUCUGUGGUGGAACCCUGAAGUCCUGAUCCAUUCCAGCCACUUACUGAAGGUCAUAGGAGAGGCAUGUUCCAACUAGCCCACGAGGCUCCUUGAGAGGGUUAGGGAGGAGGUGGGUUGUGCAGUCCAACCUGGAAAACAUGCUGGUGAGUUGGGGCUAUAGACAAACACCAGAACAGCCUCAGACCAAGUUGAAGGCCUAGGAGCCCCUUGGAGACUUCCUGGUCUGAGUCCUUGUUCAACAGCGGAAGAAGAUCUGGACUCUGAUGCCCACAGGCAGUGUCACUUGCUCAAGGAGAGUUGAGGGUGCUAAUGAGUGAGCUCCCCACACAGCCUUUUCUUUCCAUCCAGGGCCCAGCCCAUUGGGAUGGAGCUACCCAUGUUCAGGGAUGUUCCUCCCCACUCAGUUCAUGGAAACAUACGCCACUCAUCUCUGGAAACUUCCUAAUAGACACACCCAGGAGUGUGUUUUACUUUAAGUGACUCAACCUAGUAUAUGUGACCAAUACCACCCACCCCCCUUUCUUUGGGGCUCCAGGGUUCUGCCCUGCAGGUUCAUUGAGUCUAUGAUUGACAUUUGAAUCAUUGAAAGUCCUCCAAAAGCUGAUGGAACAUGAUCAGAUAGCUUAGAGACCCAAAAAGUAUGUUGAGAAGUCAGCCUUGACAGAAGCAAUGAGUUGAAGCUUUCAAAACACACCCUAGUUUUCAACCAUGGAAGUCAGUCCUCUGGGCAUUAGACAGCCUGGAAACCCAGUGACUCCAUCAAACACCCAGUGUAAGCAUUCUGGCCCGCCCCUGGAGACCCACCCAGCAUCCUGACGUCAUCUUACCUAAAGUCCCCUUUAAGAGACGACCCUUCUCCCUUCUCACUCUUCCUUCCUCUCUCCCUCUCUCUCCUUCCACAAGGCUGUGUACACCUCUGUUUUUCUUUCUUUCCCUCUCUUUUUCCUCUCCCCUCCCCCUUUAAUAAUAAAUCUUCCCACUUGGAUGCCAUGUCUGCAUGGUAUAACUUUCCACCCCACCAUGCCACUGUUGCUGUGUCUGCAUGGCAUGGCUGUCUUUACACCUUGGCUCAAACCCGUCAUGGCUGCCCAUACACCAUUUUGCAACACCCAGGACCCUCACAUUCAAGGAACCCCUCUUAAUGCCCAUCUCCUAGCAUUGUUCUAAGGGUUCAGUACACUGAUGCUGGACAUGGACCUCACACAAUAUAGCAUCUUUUACACAAAUGUGUAUGUGUUCUGGGAAUA